rnacentral:rRNA from 1 species
UGGGGAAUAUUGCACAAUGGAGGGAACUCUGAUGCAGCGACGCCGCGUGAACGAAGAAGGCUUUCGAGUCGUAAAGUUCUUUUAUAUGGGAAGAUAAUGACGGUACCAUAAGAAAAAGCCCCGGCUAACUACGUGCCAGCAGCCGCGGUAAUACGUAGGGGGCUAGCGUUGUCCGGAAUCACUGGGCGUAAAGGGUUCGCAGGCGGAAAUGCAAGUCAGGUGUAAAAGGCAGUAGCUUAACUACUGUGAGCAUUUGAAACUGCAUAUCUUGAGAAGAGUAGAGGUAAGUGGAAUUUUUAGUGUAGCGGUGAAAUGCGUAGAUAUUAAAAAGAAUACCGGUGGCGAAGGCGACUUACUGGGCUCAUUCUGACGCUGAGGAACGAAAGCGUGGGUAGCAAACAGG